rnacentral:rRNA from 1 species
ACGGAAGGCAGCAGUGGGGAAUAUUGGGCAAUGGGGGGAACCCUGACCCAGCAACGCCGCGUGAAGGAAGAAGGCCUUCGGGUUGUAAACUUCUUUUACCAGGGACGAUAAUGACGGUACCUGGAGAAAAAGCAACGGCUAACUACGUGCCAGCAGCCGCGGUAAUACGUAGGUUGCAAGCGUUGUCCGGAUUUACUGGGUGUAAAGGGCGUGUAGGCGGAGCUGCAAGUCAGAUGUGAAAUCCCGGGGCUCAACCCCGGAACUGCAUUUGAAACUGUAGCCCUUGAGUAUCGGAGAGGCAAGCGGAAUUCCUAGUGUAGCGGUGAAAUGCGUAGAUAUUAGGAGGAACACCAGUGGCGAAGGCGGCUUGCUGGACGACAACUGACGCUGAGGCGCGAAAGCGUGGGGGGCAAACAGGAUUAGAUACCCUGGUA